AAGGCAUGGUGAGGGAAUUUCGUAAGUAUUUUCUUAAAUCUCUCCCAACUCUCAUAAAUUGAUUCUCCCUCAAAUUGUGUAAAAGAAAUGAUAUUACUUCUGAGUUU